ACCUGGUUGGCUCAGUCAGUAGAGCAUGUGACUCUCAGUUUCAGGGUUGUGAGUUCAAGCCCUGCAUUAGGGA
rnacentral:tRNA from 1 species